UUUAAUAUAGUCUAAUUCACUCUAUCAAAUACAUUAUAAUAACUAAAGUUAAUAUCGUCUAAUAUUGUGAUAUUUCAUUAUAAAUUCCAACCUACAAUUAAGGUACGGCAGCUACCACUCAAAAGACAAUGCUAAAUGCCAACAAACGUAAAAAGACAAAAUUUGUUCCAUUGUCUUCGUGGAGGAAAUUCUUAGAUUACAAAACCCUAAUUCAAGAGAAAAUAAUUGGCCCCCAUCCAAGAAUAUUCUAGGUAUUAGAAGCAUAUACGUUACUGUAUUAUUAGUAGUUAUAUUCAAUGUGGUUGUAAGUUGUGAUUUCAUUGGUUAAGUAUAUUCCCUAUUUGUUUAUAUUAUCUUCAAGAAGAAAAAGAUAUUCUGGUUUCUCGAGAAUCUGCCACUAUUCAAGGUUGCAUGAUCCAUGGAUUUAAUAAAGAGGGUAUUGGUUGCAUGUGCUAAUCACUACGUUCUUUUUUUGUAUACCUAGGGGUUAAGAGUGAAUCACCC
rnacentral:lncRNA from 1 species